rnacentral:rRNA from 1 species
ACCCCAAACCGACACAGGUGGUCAGGUAGAGAAUACCAAGGCGCUUGAGAGAACUCGGGUGAAGGAACUAGGCAAAAUGGUGCCGUAACUUCGGGAGAAGGCACGCUGACAUGUAGGUGAAGUGAUUUACUCACGGAGCUGAAGUCAGUCGAAGAUACCAGCUGGCUGCAACUGUUUAUUAAAAACACAGCACUGUGCAAACACGAAAGUGGACGUAUACGGUGUGACGCCUGCCCGGUGCCGGA